GGCCAAGUUGUUAAGGGCACACGGUGGAUGCCUGGGCACCAGGAGCCGAUGAAGGACGUAGGAGGCUGCGAUAAGCCUCGGGGAGCUGUCAACCGAGCGUUGAUCCGAGGAUGUCCGAAUGGGGGAACCCCGCACCAGUCAUGUGGUGUGACCCGCGCCUGAACACAUAGGGCGUGUGGAGGGAACGUGGGGAAGUGAAACAUCUCAGUACCCACAGGAAGAGAAAACAACAGUGAUUCCGUGAGUAGUGGCGAGCGAAAGCGGAAGAGGCUAAACCGUUUCCAUGUGAUAGCCGGCAGGCGUUGUGGAGGCGGGGUCGUGGGACAGUUCAGUCACUCCUGCCGGGGUGGCGGGGAGUCAUAAAAGACUUGUGUUAGUGGAAGGCCUCUGGAAGGGGUCGCCGUAGAGGGUGAGAGCCCCGUACACGAAAACCGAGUCUCUCCCGAGCUUGUUCCCAAGUAGCACCGAGCCCGUGAAAUUCGGUGUGAAUCUGGCGGGACCACCCGCUAAGCCUGAAUACUCCCUGGUGACCGAUAGCGGACAAGUACCGUGAGGGAAAGGUGAAAAGUACCCCGGGAGGGGAGUGAAAUAGUACCUGAAACCGUGUGCCUACAAGCCGUGAGAGCCUUAUGCCCUUCGGGGUGGGGGUGAUUGCGUGCCUUUUGAAGAAUGAGCCUGCGAGUUAGUGGUACGUGGCGAGGUUAACCCGUGUGGGGUAGCCGUAGCGAAAGCGAGUCCGAACAGGGCGAUCUUCAGUCGCGUGCUCUAGACCCGAAGCCGAGUGAUCUACCCAUGGCCAGGUUGAAGCGCGGGUAAGACCGCGUGGAGGACCGAACCCACCAGGGUUGAAAACCUGGGGGAUGAGCUGUGGGUAGGGGUGAAAGGCCAAUCAAACUCGGUGAUAGCUGGUUCUCCCCGAAAUGCAUUUAGGUGCAGCGUCACGUGUUUCUUGCCGGAGGUAGAGCACUGGAUGGCCGAUGGGCCCCACAAGGUUACUGACGUCAACCAAACUCCGAAUGCCGGUAAGUGAGAGCGUGGCAGUGAGACUGCGGGCGAUAAGGUUCGUAGUCGAGAGGGAAACAGCCCAGAUCAUCGGCUAAGGCCCCUAAGCGUGUGCUAAGUGGAAAAGGAUGUGGGAUCGCAGAGACAACCAGGAGGUUGGCUUAGAAGCAGCCACCCUUGAAAGAGUGCGUAAUAGCUCACUGGUCAAGUGGUUCCGCGCCGACAAUGUAGCGGGGCUCAAGCACACCGCCGAAGCCGUGGCAUUCACAUGAUCGCCCGCCGGUACCUCUCGAAGGUGCCGGCCAGGUGUGUGGAUGGGUAGGGGAGCGUCGUGUGGCGGUGGAAGCGGCGGAGUGAUCCAGCCGUGGACGCCACACGAGUGAGAAUGCAGGCAUGAGUAGCGAGAGGGGAGUGAGAACCUCCCCCGCCGGAAGACCAAGGGUUCCUGGGCCAGGCUAAUCCGCCCAGGGUGAGUCGGGACCUAAGGCGAGGCCGACAGGCGUAGUCGAUGGACAACGGGUUGAUAUUCCCGUACCCGCGAAGGAACGCCCAUGCUGAACCCAGCGAUGCUAACCCACCGACGCCGGUGCGCCCACUUGUGGGCACGCCGGGGAAGCUGGGGACCCGGACUGGUAGUAGGCAAGCGAUGGGGUGACGCAGGAAGGUAGUCCUACCGGUGAGUGGUAGUACCGGGGCAAGGGUGUGGCCCGUGGGAUAGGUAAAUCCGUUCCACACGAGGGUGAGACCUGAUGCAUAGCCGAUUGAGGCGAAUUGGAUGAUCCUAUGCUGCCGAGAAAAGCCUCUAGCGAGUUCCGAGUGGCCCGUACCCCAAACCAACUCAGGUGGUCAGGUAGAGAAUACCGAGGCGAUCGAGCGAACUGUGGUUAAGGAACUCGGCAAAAUGCCCCCGUAACUUCGGGAGAAGGGGGGCCAUCGAUCGUGAACCGCUCUUGCAGUGGGGAGCGGUGGGUGGCCGCAGAGACCAGUGAGAAGCGACUGUUUACUAAAAACACAGGUCCGUGCGAAGUCGUAAGACGAUGUAUACGGACUGACGCCUGCCCGGUGCUGGAACGUUAAGGGGACGGGUUAGCCGCAAGGCGAAGCUCAGAACUCAAGCGCCAGUAAACGGCGGUGGUAACUAUAACCAUCCUAAGGUAGCGAAAUUCCUUGUCGGGUAAGUUCCGACCUGCACGAAUGGCGUAACGACUUCUCAGCUGUCUCAACCACAGGCUCGGCGAAAUUGCACUACGAGUAAAGAUGCUCGUUACGCGCGGCAGGACGGAAAGACCCCGGGACCUUUACUAUAGCUUGAUAUUGGUGUUCGGUUCGGCUUGUGUAGGAUAGGUGGGAGACUGCGAAGCGGGCACGCCAGUGUUCGUGGAGUCGCCGUUGAAAUACCACUCUGGUCGAAUUGGAUGUCUAACCUCGGUCCGUGAUCCGGAUCAGGGACAGUGUCAGGUGGGUAGUUUAACUGGGGCGGUUGCCUCCCAAAAUGUAACGGAGGCGCCCAAAGGUUCCCUCAGCCUGGUUGGCAAUCAGGUGUCGAGUGCAAGUGCACAAGGGAGCUUGACUGCGAGACCGACGGGUCGAGCAGGAGCGAAAGCUGGGACUAGUGACCCGGCACCGGCAUGUGGAAGCGGUGUCGCUCAACGGAUAAAAGGUACCCCGGGGAUAACAGGCUGAUCUUCCCCAAGAGUCCAUAUCGACGGGAUGGUUUGGCACCUCGAUGUCGGCUCGUCGCAUCCUGGGGCUGGAGUAGGUCCCAAGGGUUGGGCUGUUCGCCCAUUAAAGCGGUACGCGAGCUGGGUUUAGAACGUCGUGAGACAGUUCGGUCCCUAUCCGCCGCGCGCGUAAGAGACUUGAGAAGAGCUGUCCCUAGUACGAGAGGACCGGGACGGACGAACCUCUGGUGUGCCAGUUGUACCGCCAGGUGCACUGCUGGUUAGCUACGUUCGGCAGGGAUAACCGCUGAAAGCAUCUAAGCGGGAAGCUCGCUUCAAGAUGAGGUCUCUCACCGGGUCAACCGGGUAAGGCCCCCGCCCAGACCAGCGGGUUGAUAGGCCGGAAGUGGAAGCACCGCAAGGUGUGCAGCUGACCGGUACUAACAGGCCGAGGGCUUGACCAC
rfam:Blastococcus saxobsidens DD2 complete genome